CACUACAAGUUCACUUGAAUCUGUCUGCGCUGUAUUCGUCCGCUGAAGAGUGAAGACGAGCCGAACACCUUUUCCUACUGUCGCCUCCCAUCUUUGAGCCCGCAUGCAGAUUGUGGUAAACAAAACUAGGCAACUGCCAAUGGGCAGAAUGAAGACGAGCCACUAAGAAGACUCGGCCAGUAAUGGGAUUUUCGCACUAUUUAUAAAGGCGGUAGCAGCAAGACACAUGUGUUGACAAUGACAUCCACUGGAACAAUGCCAGGCUGAACAUCUGGACCAAGAGUCGCCAUCUGCUGGACGGGAGAUGAAAACCUCUCCUUCUGGAUCCUGGUCAUGUAGAUGACGUCGGUAUCAGGCAGCGCUUCCUCAAUACUCUCAAACUCCUCCUGCAAACAGGCACAAUACCCGACAUGACCUGAGAGCCUGAGUAAUCAAACUCGCCAGCCUGGCCAAUGGACAAUCCUCCAGAGCCAAGGAUGAGGACCUUCUUUGGUCGGGACACCUUUUCAGGCUUCAAGGAACCCAAGUGUUUGCGCCGAUGACCAAGGAAAGCAGCUGGUGUCCGAGGCAGAUACCAAAAACCGGCUUGGGGUUAUCCACGCACACCACCUUCCUCACGUUGUUGAUGGUGGCCUGGCAUAGCUGUGGAUCUCCUGGACCGUUGCUGAUGAAUAAACCAUCAAAUUCUGGAGAGAACAAAAGAGAAAUUCACCAUAAAACUAAUCCAGAUGUCAUCUCAGGACGUUCAAUCAAUCGCAACUGGACUGUUUGGUUUGUCUUAGAAGACCUUUUGCUCCUCAUCCGAUCAUCAGUUCACGUUCAUAGACUUAGAUUGGUCAGAUUUAGUCUGGCGGCUAGUGCCAAUACCUCAGUAGGCUUCAUCAGUUCAUGCUCAUAGACUUAGAUUGGUCAGAUUUAGUCUAGCGACUGGUGCCAAAACCCAAAAUAUUUAUACUCCAAAACCAGGAGGGUGUGCCUGGGCAAAGAUGGUUUCACCCUAUCGUAGUGAGAAAAAACACAGUUUAGUUGCAAACGAGCAAUCCUACAGCCAAACCCAACGACACUCGAAGUGUAAUUUCCCCUUGUUAGAUUUGAGGUAUUGUGUGCCACAAUGAUCGCUAUGCACAGUCCAGUUACGAUCGAUUGAACAUCUUGAGAUUAAAAUGACCUGGAUGAAUGAGAACAUUCAUCGACAUAAUCUAGAUGUCAA